rnacentral:rRNA from 1 species
UACGUAGGGUGCAAGCGUUAAUCGGAAUUACUGGGCGUAAAGCGUGCGCAGGCGGUUAUGUAAGUCAGGUGUGAAAUCCCCGGGCUUAACCUGGGAACUGCAUUUGUGACUGCAUCGCUGGAGUGCGGCAGAGGGGGAUGGAAUUCCGCGUGUAGCAGUGAAAUGCGUAGAUAUGCGGAGGAACACCGAUGGCGAAGGCAAUCCCCUGGGCCUGCACUGACGCUCAUGCACGAAAGCGUGGGGAGCAAACAGG